rnacentral:rRNA from 1 species
CCUACGGGUGGCAGCAGUGGGGAAUAUUGGACAAUGGGGGCAACCCUGAUCCAGCAAUUCUGUGUGCACGAAGAAGGUUUUCGGAUCGUAAAGUGCUUUCAGCAGGGAGGAAGAAAGUGACUGUACCUGCAGAAGAAGCGACGGCUAAAUACGUGCCAGCAGCCGCGGUAAUACGUAUGUCGCGAGCGUUAUCCGGAAUUAUUGGGCAUAAAGGGCAUCUAGGCGGCCAGAUAAGUCCGAGGUGAAAACUGCCGGCUCAACCAGCAGCUUGCCUUGGAAACUACCUGGCUAGAGUAUUGGAGAGGUGGACGGAACUACACGAGUAGAGGUGAAAUUCGUAGAUAUGUGUAGGAAUGCCGAUGAUGAAGAUAGUUCACUGGACGAUAACUGACGCUGAAGUGCGAAAGCUAGGGGAGCGAACAGGAUUAGAUACCCCAGUAGUC